rnacentral:rRNA from 1 species
GACGAACGCUGGCGGCGUGCUUAACACAUGCAAGUCGAACGCUGAAGCCCAGCUUGCUGGGUGGAUGAGUGGCGAACGGGUGAGUAACACGUGAGUAACCUGCCCUCUUCUUUGGGAUAACGCCCGGAAACGGGUGCUAAUACUGGAUAUUCACUGAUUCUCGCAUGGGGGUUGGUGGAAAGGUUUUUUCUGGUGGGGGAGGGGCUCGCGGCCUAUCAGCUUGUUGGUGGGGUGAUGGCCUAUCAAGGCUUUGACGGGUAGCCGGCCUGCGAGGGUGACCGGUCACGUUGGGAUUGUGAGACGGCCCGGACUCCUACCGGAGGCCGCAGUGGUGCAUAUUGCACAAUGGGCGAAUGCCUGAUGCAGCGCCGCCGCGUGAGGGAUGGAGGCCUUCGGGUUGUAAACCUCUUUCGCUCAUGGUCAAGCCGCAGCUUUGGGUUGUGGUGAGGGUAGUGGGUAAAGAAGCGCCGGCUAACUACGUG